GAGCUUUCCCUGAACAAGCGGUGGCCCUAGUUUGAGAACCACUGAUUUAUGCCAUGACCCACUUUCCAUCCCUCUCUACAUUGGAGUCUAAUCUCUGACCAUUAAAUGUGAAGGAGCUAAACGGGGGUUGAGAUAGCACCACCUCAUAUAGCUAGGGGAGGGUCUUUGGCCAUAAGGCGUGAUGACUGCCUCCUACGGGUACUGUUAGGCAAAUUUCUCCAGGUCCAGUGCGCUUGGCAUACUUACACCUAAGUGGAAUAAACAUUUGCAUCACAUCUUGAAGAAUCACAGUUACAGUAAGUAACCAUUUCUUCAGAAUCUCUGAACUACCAGGCCUGGUAAAUGAAAUACAAUUUUAUGAGCUACUACUAUGAUUUUAUGAACUAUGCUGAGAGGUCUUUGAGUGAUUACACAUGUGUAUUCCACUCUUGGUGUGCAUAUACUCCACACACAAUCAUCCAAAUUUUUUCCUUCAGUUGGUAUCUGUUAGGGCAGCUCAAGUGCCCUCUGCUGCUAUGUGCCACUGAGUUUAAGGGACCCAGCCAUCCCUGAGCUUCCGCAGUUCUUUCUUACCACCCAUGACAGUCAUUUGAUUCACUUGACUUGCCUUAGCAAGUGCUCUCAUUGUGUUCAGGCUCAUAUUCCGGAUCAAUGCCAGAUGUGCAAAGACUUUAAGCCUUGGACAAGGAAAGAUGGAGAGGUUUUUGCUCAUGGAGGCAGCCCUAAGACCUCCAUCAGAGUCCAGUCAGUCAGACUCAGCACUGAGUUCCUCGGCAUCAGGUAGGAAUGCACUCCCUACUUUGCCUGAGUCCCAGCACUGCUCACCCUCCCCAAUGCCUAAGAUGCAUAAGACCUCUAAGCAGACCACCUAGAGGGGAAUGUUGCCAGUCCAAAUGUCAUCUAGGCUUGGGGAUAAAAGUAGAGUGCAGCUGAAACCUAAGCAUUCAUCAUCUCUGAUGCUGCAGAAGCCUGCACCAUUAAUUCCAGCACCAAGGAAGGUGCUGUCAAGUCCAGAGCCUGUGGGUGCACCUUCUACAUCUGUGACACUACACUAUCCCAAGACCAUCUCAGUACCGACCAUGCUGGAGGCAUUUGCAUCAGCAAAAGAUUUGCUCAACCUUUCAGUGCUGGUUUCUCCUAUGGCGCAGGAGACUGCGCUCUAAGUACCAGCACACAUGGGAGUGCCAGCAAUAUUGAUGCAGCAUUCAGUCCCACAUCAACCACUGUUGCCUCAAACUGUAUGUCCACCAGUACUGUUAAAGGGGAGGCUUGCAAUGUUGGCUGCACUGCAUCCUUCUUUGACUCGGCACUGGUCUCCGGCACCAUCGGGAGCAGCCCCUUCUUGGUCAGCAGCAGAGGGAGAGUCAUCCUCCUAUGAAUGGGAGAUUGGCUCCUGUGUUUUCCAGCCUUAGAGCCACUCUCACUACUCUCCACUGAGGUACUACUACCCUGCAAGCGAAACUUCGGUACCAUCAUGUGGGUGGCCACUGGAGCCCACCAACAGUUCAGUGGCCCUUUUGGAAUCUGUGAGGUUUCCCCCUGGUUUUAAGUCAUACACAAGAUGUUCCUGUUCUACUCAGAGGGCCAUGAUGCUCCUACUCAUCAGGAAGAGGUGGUUCAGGAGGACCCCGCUAGACAGCUAGCGGAGGAAGAGCCGCCUCAGCCUGUGCUGGCCACCUCUUCCUCCUCUCUGGAUGAGGCAAUCUCUGCAGUGAGUGUUUUGCCUACCCCAGGUGACUAUAAGGCCCAAGAGCAUUUAAAAAAGGUGGUCUUAAACAUUGGGAUGCAAGUGGAGAAGGUUAAAGAAUCCUCACACUGCCUUGACAAUGUUUUAGCCCCUUAUCUAUUAAUAAGGCAGUUAUUGAUGCUAUUAAGGCUCUCUGGCAGACCUCUUCGUUCCUUCCCUCUGCCUCAAAAAGGACCUAAUAUAAAUACAAUGUGUCUUCUCAGGGUGGUUGAAUACCUCUAUUCUCACCUUCCUGGGCCCCCAUGCUCUCUGGUGCUGUCAGUAGUCAAUGAAAGGGAACAAGGGAAAUGCGGGGCAACCCCCAAAUCAAAAGAUGCAAAAAAAAUGGAUCUGUUUGGUAGAAAAGUUUAUUCUACCAGGGGGCUGCAACUCAGUAUUGCCAAUCAGCAAGCACUUUUGGGCCAGUAUGAUUUUAAUGCUUGGACUCUCUUUUAGAGUCAGGGUGCUAGGCAGGAGUUCUCCUUGUUAGCUGAUGUGGGGAAAUCUGUGGUAAGAUCUUCUCUGCAGGCUGUUCUGGAUGCAGCAGACUUGGCAGCUAGGUCCAGGGUUUCUGCAGUGGCCAUGCACAGGAGCUCUUGGCUCGGGGCUUCCACAACAGGUCCAAUGGCCUUUACCUGCCCUUGGCUGCAAAAACAAUGAAGACCUUUCAAACUGACUCUGAACUCCACAGACUGGAAGAUUCUAGGGCAACUCUAAAGUCUCUGGGGUUGUAUGCUCCAACCCUAUCCAGCAAGCACUUCCAUCCACAGCAGACCCACCAUUACUCUGCUCCUGCUCCUCAGCAAGACUUGCAGAGAAAGAAGAAUGUGGGGGUUAUAGAUGUAGAUCUCUUCCUCCUUCUGCCUCUGCAUCAACACCUGCUCCAUCUAGACACCCAGAGGGUGCUCAACAGGCAUUUUGAUGGGUUGCUCAAGGACACCACGCCAGUUUUCCAAAAUUCCAUUUUCCCCAGAUUUGCAAAUCACCUGCCCCACUUUCUCAGCACUUGGUCCAAGAUUACCUCAGACAACUGGGUUUUAAGUACUGUGGAAGUGGCAUAUAGUCUCCAAUUUAUUUUUGUCCUCUUCUCCCUCCACAUCACUCUUCAGGGACCACUCUCAUUAGCAGUCUUCUAAUCCAUCUCUCCUUCAGGGAGGAGCCAUGGAGGAGAUUCAGCAGCGUCACAGAGGGAGGGGGUUCUGUUCCUGUUAUUUCCUAAUCCCAAAAACAAAGAUCUCAAACCAAUUUUAGACCUGCACAAGCUCAACAAAUAUCUAAUAAAGAUAGUUUUGUAUGGUCACACUGGCUUCCAUUAUUUCCUCCCUGGAUCCUGGAGACUAGUAUGCCACCCUUGAUUUAAGAGAUACAUACUUUCAUGUGGCAAUUUAUCCAGGUCACAGAAAGUUUCUCAUGUUCAUAGUGAAACUCUCUCAAUACCAGUUCACUGUGCUUCCUUUUGACCUGCCAGCAGCUCCACAGGUUUUCACAAAAUGUAUGUCUGUAAUAGCAGCGUUCUUGAGGAGACCUAGGAUUAUAGAUCUACCUUUACCUGCAUGACUGGCUAGUCAAGGACCAGUCCAGGGCUAAGGUUCUCUCCAGUGUGCAACUCAUCUAGUCAGCCUUCAAAUCUGUAGGUCCACUGAUCAAUUUAGAUUAGUCCAUCCUUUGUCCUGUGUAGAAGACGGAAUUUAUAUGAGCAGUGCUGGACUCUACUCAAGCCAGAGCUUUCCUUACAGGCACAAGAUUCCAAACAAUUUGAUCUCAUGUGGCAGAUCUCAAGGUUCGCCCAAUCACAACAGCUCAAAACUAUGAGAAUUCUGGAACACGUAACUUCAUGCACAUAUGCAGUUGAUCAUGCCAGGCCGCACCUCAGGACUCUUCAGAGUUAGCUGGCCUCCGUGUAUUCACUUAAGUCACCACCACUUAAGCUGAACACUGAAUACUGACUUUGCUAGAUUGGUUGACGCACCCACUCAAUAUUUGUGCUUGUAUUCCCUUUGUCCAUCUUCAGCCUUCACUGACACUGGUGACUGACACAUCUGCCCCAGGGUAGGGAGCUCAUCUGGGCCCCCUCUGAACUCGAGGUUUGUGAUCCUUAAGGGAUCUCUCUGUCUUCAUAUCAAUGUCAGAGAGAUAAGGGGUAUCUGCCUCUCCUGUCAGGCCUUCCUACCACAUGUGAAGGGGAAAAGCCUGUUUUUUUCUCUUAGAAAACAUUGCAAAAAUGUUUUACCUCAACAGGCAGGGAGGUGCUCGCUUUUCUCUUCUUUGUCAAGAAGCAAUUCACCUAUGAAUUCACCUAUGCCCGCUCUAUCUUUCCUAAAUAGGGUGUAUCCAGUGAUUUUAACAUUCCAGUCAUGUGAAUCAUCCCAUCGGCUUUAAGUAAUGCCAGUCAAAUUUGUUUUAAUGAAUUAGUAUUUCUAAUUACUCUGUAAUUAUAGAGUAUUUCCAUAACCAGACCACCUAUGGCCAUUGGGACUCUUUGGAAAUGGGUGGAAGAAUUAGGAGUGUGAAAAAGUUACUGGGGCUGACCAGACAUGCACUGCUGGCUGCUUAUGCAUCCGGAUAAUUCUCAAAAAUAAUGGCUUCUUCCUGGGUUACACAUGCUCCUUGCAAUGGAAGUGGUUCCAAGAGACAGAUCAAUCACAAAUCAGUAGCAAUAGUAAACAUAAUAUUUUAAUAGAAGUAUACUUAACUUUUCAAAUGUUUUUCAGAUGUUGGUGUAAAAUUAGGCACCUGUUUAAGUGUCUUAAUCUUCAAAGUGCUGAGCUCCUGCCACUCCUACUUGCUCCAGACAGAAUUAGUUAUUCCACAAUAUCUGCUGAGCUUUCAAUGUUCAUAUGAGAUGGAACAGUUUGAGGAAGUGCAACGGAAGACUAUAACAGUGCCUGGGAACUAGAAGCAAAGCCAUCAAAUACAAAGCAUGCAGGAGUGCUGUGAAUAUGCAAGAACCCUCCCAUGCUGAAGCUGAGUCUGCCUAGCUGCUAAUGGUACAGUAGUUGUGACAGUAAGACUAGCUAUGAAAGAACUUCCUUAAACUUAUGGAAAUAUUCUUAUCUUCACCCACUCAUUAAUUGUCCUGGGGGCACACAGCAGGGCUGAAGGAGUGGAGCUGUUGUAGCAGCAUGGUAAAGAUGGGGAUAGGUUAGGCCACUUAUCGGGGUGCCUUUUGUGGGGAUGGGGUUGUAGAUCUGCUUGUGGUGCACAUCCUAGCCCCAGGUGAUGCUCUUAACAGCAACACAGCCUGAGUGUGGAAUGUGAGUUCUGCAAAGGAGAGGUGCUGCUCCCAGCUUGUGCCCCUGAGGCAGGGAAUCAGUAUUUUGUUUUCAAACAGAGGUAGGGUGAUUAAGAUAAGAAAGGCCUGGUAUUUAAAUUAAGAAUCUGGAAGUCCUUCGAUGAGCCUCUAAAACAGGAAUCCCUUUACAGCAGCGGUGGGCAAACUACAGCCCGCGUCUGGCCUGUCAAACCGUUUAAUCUGGCCCUCGAACUCCAGCUGGGGAGCAGGGUCGGGGGCUUGCCCCGCUCCACCUGGCAGUCCCCAGCCCCCAACUCACACACGCUGAGCCAACACUGCACAGACACGACCGACACCCCAGACUUCACUGCGCUGUUUUCAGGAUCAGAACCCCGCCCCUUACGCAGCAGCACUCCCAACCCCCAAAACGCCAGCCUCCUCGCAUAAGCCACACCUGUCCCAGCUAGGGUGCCUCUCCCCCUGGCGGUGCCUGGUAUAGUCGCCUUGGUGUCACUGCCAGCAGGGCCCCUAGGAGUCCCAAGUACCACCCCUGUAAAGCUCCCCUCCCCCAACUCAAUAACAUCCCUUAUAGAGCUCCUCCAUGCUAUACCCCAUAAAGCCCCUCACCCCCACCUCGGUAACAUCUUACUAUAUACAAACUUUUAAUGAAUGCAAUAGUGCAAACAGAACUCAAAGUAUAACAGUCAGAACAUUUCAAAUACACCAUUUUUGGGGGGAGGGUAGAACGUAAAGCUACAGGUGAAUACACCCUGCUUCUGCCUGUCCACAUGGGUUCUGGGAUAGAGUGCCAUGGCUCAAAAUUGUCAGGGGCACUGAUGCCCGACAAAUCCAGGCUAGAGAAAGGGCCCAGUUUUUUCAUGAUGCAUGCAAUUUCCAUAAUGAGAAUGAUACCUGACUUUGAUGCCAUUGUAGAGAAGGGUGACCAUCUACAUUGUUCACAUUAAUCAAUGAGGGUGUGGAAAGGGGGUAGGCUUGGUUUAAUUAUUGUAAUAUGUUAUGAUGGUAUAUUUAUAAUAAUAAGUAAGGUUUUAUGUUUAUUUCCACUAAAAUGUAUCUUUAUUAAAUAGAAUUUAUUUGAAUAUCUCUGAAUUGUUAAUUUUGUAAGCAUUCAUGGUCCUCCAUAUAAUUUCAAUACCCAGAUGUGGCCCUCAGGCCAAAAUGUUUGCCCACACACACCUGGGGCUCAGGCUUUGGUCCCUCAUCCUGGGGUUGUUUAGUAAUUUUUCUUGUCUAAAGGGGGGUCGCGAUGCAAUGAAGUUUGAGAACCCCUGUAGGCACUUUAAUUUAGAUAGUCAAGGAAGCAUGGAAAAGAGUAGCAGAAAAAGGGAAGCCUGCCAAGUCCCUUAAAAUAAUACCCAUCUGUCAUCCUUAUGUAAAGUUAAGUGAAAACUAAGCUGAAAGGUGUCCGCUUCCACCAAUACAAAGGCAGAAUUAUUGUAGAUGUAAAGUAAUCAUGAAAUUCAUAUAGAGAGCCCUGCAUGUUUACAAGUUUCGUUGAAGUUGCCUCCAGUUGGUUCCUGUGUGGAUCCUAACUCAAUAGAACUGCUGUUAUAUUCAUAAACAUACAUGAGUUCAAGAUUCUUUAUGAUUACAAGUUGCAAAUCCUCUAUACCCAAGGACUCUUAAACUUAAUAAUAAUGUAAACCACAUCUUGGAGAUUGUUUUGUGGACCACUUUCCCUCCCGUUUUUGGUCAUAUAACAUCCUUGUAAUUUCAGCAAUUGCUUUACAUGGAAACAUAAUAAUGAAAGACCUGAUUUUUAACUCUCAGUAGUAUACUAAGUGUUUUGUCCUUUUUGGAAAAAAUCAAUCAUGUUGUUGUCUUCUACCCUUCAUUUCAUAUCCCUCUUAGGUUUAUUUUGUGCCUCUCUGAGCCAGCACCAUUAACCAGCUAUUUGUCCAUGCAGCACCAGUGCUCCACAGAUCAUAGUUUGGAAACCUAUAGUCCUAAACCAUGAACCUUAGAGUAAUUUUUUGUGAUAAUAAAUACAACUUCUGGAGAAAGCUAAAUUGACCUUGGAGAGAGGGUUUACCAGUUUAAGACAGGCACAGAUCACAAAGCAUAUAUACAGAAUAAUAAUUUUGGGGUACUGGGUUCCCUUUCUUUAAAUAUUGAAUAGCUGGGUCUUUAAAUCAUGUAAAAUGUUUAAAGCAUCAGUGCUGGAGUAAUUUCUAUUCUUGUGCACUACUUUCUUUUGUCUUGGAAUGUUAAUAUAUGUCAUAAGUGCUGCAAAACAAAGUUAGGAGUACUGUAUUUUGACUAUGUUUGCAAGUAACCACAAGGAGUUCUUGUAUUAAUGACUGAGGACUUUCCUGGGUUCCAUAUAGAAAUAUUCCCAAGGGCUGUCCUUUUGGCUCGACUGUGGACAUGCCUGAGAUGGUCUCUGCAACACUUGGAGGAAGAACAAAACUUGAAUGGUUUGUUACAUUUUUUGGCAAUGGAAUUAUCUUGUACUAUAUUUUUAAUUCUUUUUAAGAAGUUUGUACAUGAAGAACUCCCACCAUCCAUCCCAGGGAGGCAAAAAAUGAAAUUUAGAGCCUCAAACUGUGAUUAAAAUCUUUGGUUUUUACAGUUUAAGUCCUUGCUUUUCCAGUCUGCUGAUUUUUUUUCUGUAUUGGUGACACACUUGUAAUUUAGUUGAUAAGAGAGGCAAGGGUUGGGAAUGUUGAAUAUUUUGGAGCCUUUUAAUCACAACAGAUAAGAAAAAUUAGCAUAGCCUGGAAACAAGGGAUCUUUGUAAUACAUUUUUUUGGUCAGGUAUGUACGUGAUUAAAGUCAAACUGAAUUUGUCAGGAA